rnacentral:rRNA from 1 species
AAUCAACGCUGGCGGCGUGCCUCAGACAUGCAAGUCGAACGCGAAAGUUCCCUUCGGGGAGCAAGUAGAGUGGCGCACGGGUGAGUAACACGUAGGUAAUCUACCUUUGGAUGGGGAAUA